rnacentral:rRNA from 1 species
UAUGAGAGCGGCGUACGGGUGCGUAACACGUGUGCAACCUGCCUUUAUCUGGGGGAUAGCCUUUCGAAAGGAAGAUUAAUACCCCAUAAUAUAUUGAUUGGCAUCAAUUAAUAUUGAAAGCUCCGGCGGAUAGAGAUGGGCACGCGUAAGAUUAGCUAGUUGGUGAGGUAACGGCUCAUCAAGGCUGCGAUCUUUAGGGGGCCUGAGAGGGUGAUCCCCCACACUGGUACUGAGACACGGACCAGACUCCUACGGGAGGCAGCAGUGAGGAAUAUUGGACAAUGGGUGAAAGCCUGAUCCAGCCAUCCCGCGUGAAGGACUAAGGACCUAUGGUUUGUAAACUUCUUUUAUACAGGGAUAAACCUACUCUCGUGAGGGUAGCUGAAGGUACUGUAUGAAUAAGCACCGGCUAACUCCGUGCCAGCAGCCGCGGUAAUACGGAGGGUGCAAGCGUUAUCCGGAUUUAUUGGGUUUAAAGGGUCCGUAGGCGGGUCGAUAAGUCAGUGGUGAAAGCCUGCAGCUUAACUGUAGAACUGCCGUUGAUACUGUCGGUCUUGAGUGUAUUUGAGGGAGCUGGAAUGAGUAGUGUAGCGGUGAAAUGCAUAGAUAUUACU